CAGCUACUCCCUUCGUUCGGAAUUACUUGUCGCAAAAAUAGAUGUAUCUAGACGUAUUUUAGUUCUAGAUACAUUCAUAUUCAAAACAAGUAAUUCCGAACGGAGGAAGUAACUG
rfam:Triticum urartu cultivar G1812 contig966523, whole genome shotgun sequence.